GGCGAACGGGUGAGUAACACGUGGGUGAUCUGCCCUGCACUCUGGGAUAAGCCUGGGAAACUGGGUCUAAUACCGGAUAGGACCAUGCUUUAGCGUGUGUGGUGGAAAGUUUUUCGGUGUAGGAUGAGCCCGCGGCCUAUCAGCUUGUUGGUGGGGUAAUGGCCUACCAAGGCGGCGACGGGUAGCCGGACUGAGAGGUUGGUCGGCCACAUUGGGACUGAGAUACGGCCCAG
rnacentral:rRNA from 1 species